rnacentral:rRNA from 1 species
CCUACGGGGGGCUGCAGUGGGGAAUAUUGGGCAAUGGGCGAAAGCCUGACCCAGCAACGCCGCGUGAAGGAAGAAGGCUUUCGGGUUGUAAACUUCUUUUGACAGGGAAGAGCAGAAGACGGUACCUGUCGAAUAAGCCAUGGCUAACUACGUGCCAGCAGCCGCGGUAAUACGUAGGUGGCAAGCGUUGCCCGGAUUUACUGGGUGUAAAGGGCGUGUAGUCGGGCUGACAAGUCAGAUGUGAAAGCCGGGGGCUCAACCCCCGAACUGCAGUUGAAACUGUUGGUCUUGAGUAUCGGAGAGGCAGGCGGAAUUCCUGGUGUAGCGGUGAAAUGCGUAGAUAUUAGGAAGAACACCGAUGGCGAAGGCAGCCUACUGGACGGCUACUGACGGUGAGGCGCGAAGGCGUGGGGAGCAAACAGGAUUAGAUACCCGAGUAGUC